ACGUAGGGGGCGAGCGUUGUCCGGAUUUAUUGGGCGUAAAGAGCUCGUAGGCGGUUCAACAAGUCGGCCGUGAAAGCCUGAGGCUCAACCUCAGGACGCCGGUCGAAACUGUUGUGACUAGGGUUCGGUAGAGGAGAGUGGAAUUCCCGGUGUAGCGGUGAAAUGCGCAGAUAUCGGGAGGAACACCAGUAGCGAAGGCGGCUCUCUGGGCCGAUACCGACGCUGAGGAGCGAAAGCUAGGGGAGCAAACAGG
rnacentral:rRNA from 1 species